AUUGAACGCUGGCGGCAGGCCUAACACAUGCAAGUCGAACGGUAACAGGAAACAGCUUGCUGUUUCGCUGACGAGUGGCGGACGGGUGAGUAAUGUCUGGGAAACUGCCUGAUGGAGGGGGAUAACUACUGGAAACGGUAGCUAAUACCGCAUAACGUCGCAAGCCCAAAGAGGGGGACCUUCGGGCCUCUUGCCAUCGGAUGUGCCCAGAUGGGAUUAGCUAGUAGGUGGGGUAACGGCUCACCUAGUCGACGAUCCCUAGCUGGUCUGAGAGGAUGACCAGCCACACUGGAACUGAGACACGGUCCAGACUCCUACGGGAGGCAGCAGUGGGGAAUAUUGCACAAUGGGCGGAAGCCUGAUGCAGCCAUGCCGCGUGUAUGAAGAAGGCCUUCGGGUUGUAAAGUACUUUCAGCGGGGAGGAAGGGAGUAAGGUUAAUACCUUUACUCAUUGACGUUACCCGCAGAAGAAGCACCGGCUAACUCCGUG
rnacentral:rRNA from 1 species